ACCUAAAUAUUUGGAAAAGAUCUUUGUCCUAUAUUAGAUAAUUUUUUGAAAAAUGGAUAUUAACUAUUAGCAGGCACAUGAGGCUAGACGAUUCAGGUAUCAAUGGUAAUUUAACCUAAAAGAUUCGUUCAUAUCAGCCUAUUUAAAACCUGAUUUAAUCACAAUAUUACAAACCAUAAAACCAAUUUUAAAUCAAACAAGGGUCUAUCUCCAUCGUUCUAAAUUCUUUAGACUAUUAAACAUUAGUCGCAGCUCGAGUAGAUCUACCAGAACCUUAAUUUUAGCUUCAAUUUAUUUCACCGACGUUUGGAAUCAAUUGAAUGGGUACAAGGGAAUUUGUCUAACCAGACUAUAAUUUUAAUCUUUGAACGUCGCUUUAUAAUUACGUUCCUUUUGUAACGUUACUUAAUUAUGUUUCGGAUAAUUUUAACAGCAAUAACGUAAUAAAUUAUCGUAUGAGACGAAAGACCUUUGGUGUAUACGGGUUGUGUAAUGUGUGUUCAAGUAUUUGGGAUAAAAUAAACCAAAUAUUAAUGGAAAAUGGUGAAGUGGGACCUUAUUUCUUAGUACUAAUGUGUUAGUGUUUUUUUUAUAUAUAUUUCUAUUUAUUAAUUAACUCAAGCUACAAAACUUACUGCCUUGCUUUAAUCAAUAAAUGAUAGUACUACGCAUGUAAGUAUUUGUUUUUUAAUGAGAGUUUGGUAGAUUUUGUCUCGUCCAUUUACAUUGAAAGAAUAAUGACACAAUUACUCCGUACUAUUUAACUUUCCCGAAGAGUAAUGUAUAUUUUAAUAGCACCCUUUUAUCGUAAUGGCCACGUGGUAUAUUUAUAUAAUUGACUCCAAUUAAAGAGCCACUUAAAAAAAAUUGAGCAUUUUUAUUAUCUGUGCGAUGUCGAUAAAUGUUCGCGCUUCCAUUUAAAACAAGCCGGUAUUUUUACCUAACCCUUUUAAUUAAGAACGAAUGAACAGUGAAAUAAACCCGUUAAUUUUGAUUACUUACAAAACUCCGUUCGCAAACUGAACAAGUUUAAUUUUCCUCCUAAAAUACCUAGAAUUUUUAAUUUUUAUUCUUUUCAUCGAAGUUCAAACGUUUUUUUUCCGGUUUUACCUGCGACCAGCGUUUUGCCUAUACACUACCGUUACGGGCAUGUGCGACGUUCUUUGUGACGUCAUUAAGCCGUAACGAGUAGGACGUGCGCGGCGGAGAGCGCAGAAGGGUCUGGGCGUGAGCCCGCUUGGAGCCUCCGUCGGUGCAGAUCUUGGUGGUAGUAGCAAAUACUCCAGCGAGGCCCUGGAGGACUGACGUGGAGAAGGGUUUCGCGUGAACAGUAGUUGCUCGCGAGUCAGUCGAUCCUAAGCUCAAGGAGAAAUCUUAUGUCGAUGUGGCGUGUUUUUUUCAAUAAUGUAUCAUUUUAUUAUGGUAUAUAAUGAUAAAUAACGCCCUUUGAGCGAAAGGGAAUCCGGUUCCUAUUCCGGAACCCGGCAGCGGAACCGUUUCAAUAAUCGUUCCCUCGUUUUUACAGCGAGUGUUCGACGGGGUAACCCAAAGUGGCCUGAAGACGCCGCCGAGAGGUCCGGGAAGAGUUUUCUUUUCUGCCUGAGCGUUCGAGUUCCAUGGAAUCCUAUAGAAGGGAGAUAUGGUUCGGAACGCGAAGAGCACCGCAUUUGCGGCGGUGUCCGGAUACUCUCUGCGGACCUUGAAAAUUCAGGUGAGGGAUGUACGUGGAGAUGUCGCGCCGGUUCGUACCCAUAUCCGCAGCAGGUCUCCAAGGUGAAGAGCCUCUAGUCGAUAGAAUAAUGUAGGUAAGGGAAGUCGGCAAAUUGGAUCCGUAACUUCGGAAUAAGGAUUGGCUCUGAGGACCGGGGCGUGUCGGGUUUGGACGGGAAGCGGAUGCGGCCGGUGCCGGGCCUGGUCGAUGCUCUCGCGUCUUUCGGGGCGCGAGGGCGGAAUCCGGACCCGCGUUCCGGCCUUCCGCGGAUCUUCCUAGCCGUAAGGCCGUGUCGGUCUCGACUCGUGCGCGAUCGGCGCGGUUCUGUACGACCGCCGUUCAACGGUCAGCUCAGAACUGGCACGGACAAGGGGAAUCCGACUGUCUAAUUAAAACAAAGCAUUGCGAUGGCCCUCGCGGGUGUUGACGCAAUGUGAUUUCUGCCCAGUGCUCUGAAUGUCAACGUGAAGAAAUUCAAGCAAGCGCGGGUAAACGGCGGGAGUAACUAUGACUCUCUUAAGGUAGCCAAAUGCCUCGUCAUCUAAUUAGUGACGCGCAUGAAUGGAUUAACGAGAUUCCCACUGUCCCUAGGGACAGGAUAAAGAAUUUGUAGAGUCAAGAAUCGCCUGCGGACGAAACAAGAAGCCAAGAGCGCUAUAAGUCCGCAGCCGUCUCAUGAUUCGGCCCAUAUGACGAAUUCGUCGGUGGGGCCAUGGGAAGGUUGGUGGGAUUGUCCCUAUCUACUAUCUAGCGAAACCACAGCCAAGGGAACGGGCUUGGGAGAAUCAGCGGGGAAAGAAGACCCUGUUGAGCUUGACUCUAGUCUGGCAUUGUAAGGAGACAUGAGAGGUGUAGCAUAAGUGGGAGAUCGUUCGCGCGAUCGUCGCUGAAAAACCACUACUUUCAUUGUUUCAUUACUUACUCGGUUGGGCGGAAGCGGUGCGCGGUCGAUGUUAAUCGGCGGGCGCACGGUGUUUCGUUCCAAGCGUGCAGAGUGGCGACGUGGCGGCAACGCUCGUCGCCGUAAAACUCCCGCGUGAUCCGGUUCGAGGACACUGCCAGGCGGGUAGUUUGACUGGGGCGGUACAUCUGUCAAAGAAUAACGCAGGUGUCCUAAGGCCAGCUCAGCGAGGACAGAAACCUCGCGUGGAGCAAAAGGGCAAAAGCUGGCUUGAUCCAGAUGUUCAGUACGCAUAGGGACUGCGAAAGCACGGCCUAUCGAUCCUUUAGUAUAAAGAGUUUUUAGCAAGAGGUGCCAGAAAAGUUACCACAGGGAUAACUGGCUUGUGGCAGCCAAGCGUUCAUAGCGACGUUGCUUUUUGAUCCUUCGAUGUCGGCUCUUCCUA
rnacentral:rRNA from 1 species